rnacentral:rRNA from 1 species
UACGGAGGGGGCGAGCGUUAUUCGGAAUUAUUGGGCGUAAAGGGCGCGUAGGCGGCCCGGUAAGUCAAAGGUGAAAUCCCUCGGCUCAACUGAGGAACUGCCUUUGAAACUGUCGGGCUUGAGGCCGGGAGGGGGUGGCGGAAUUCCCAGUGUAGCGGUGAAAUGCGUAGAUAUUGGGAGGAACACCAGAGGCGAAGGCGGCCACCUGGACCGGUUCUGACGCUGAUGCGCGAAAGCGUGGGUAGCAAACAGG